AGACCCGAAACCCGGUGAUCUAGCCAUGGGCAGGUUGAAGGUUGGGUAACACUAACUGGAGGACCGAACCGACUAAUGUUGAAAAAUUAGCGGAUGACCUGUGGCUGGGGGUGAAAGGCCAAUCAAACCGGGAGAUAGCUGGUUCUCCCCGAAAGCUAUUUAGGUAGCGCCUCGUGAAUUCAUCUCCGGGGGUAGAGCACUGUUUCGGCUAGGGGGCCAUCCCGGCUUACCAACCCGAUGCAAACUGCGAAUACCGGAGAAUGUUAUCACGGGAGACACACGGCGGGUGCUAACGUCCGUCGUGAAGAGGGAAACAACCCAGACCGCCAGCUAAGGUCCCAAAGUCAUGGUUAAGUGGGAAACGAUGUGGGAAGGCCCAGACAGCCAGGAUGUUGGCUUAGAAGCAGCCAUCAUUUAAAGAAAGCGUAAUAGCUCACUGGUCGAGUCGGCCUGCGCGGAAGAUGUAACGGGGCUAAACCAUGCACCGAAGCUGCGGCAGCGACGCUGAUGCGUUGUUGGGUAGGGGAGCGUUCUGUAAGCCUGCGAAGGUGGCCUGUGAGGGUUGCUGGAGGUAUCAGAAGUGCGAAUGCUGACAUAAGUAACGAUAAAGCGGGUGAAAAGCCCGCUCGCCGGAAGACCAAGGGUUCCUGUCCAACGUUAAUCGGGGCAGGGUGAGUCGACCCCUAAGGCGAGGCCGAAAGGCGUAGUCGAUGGGAAACGGGUUAAUAUUCCCGUACUUGGUGUUACUGCGAAGGGGGGACGGAGAAGGCUAUGUUGGCCGGGCGACGGUUGUCCCGGUUUAAGCGUGUAGGUGUGUGUUCCAGGUAAAUCCGGUUCACUUUAACACUGAGGCGUGAUGACGAGGCACUACGGUGCUGAAGCAACAAAUGCCCUGCUUCCAGGAAAAGCCUCUAAGCAUCAGGUAACAUCAAAUCGUACCCCAAACCGACACAGGUGGU
rnacentral:rRNA from 1 species